rnacentral:rRNA from 1 species
GACGAACGCUGGCGGCGUGCUUAACACAUGCAAGUCGAACGGAAAGGCCUGCUUUCCCUUGUGGAUUGCGGGUACUCGAGUGGCGAACGGGUGAGUAACACGUGAGUGAUCUGCCCCCAACUUGGGUAUAAGCCUGGGAAACUGGGUCUAAUUCCCGAUAGGACUGCAGGGUGGUGCCUGUGGUGGAAAACGAUUUUCUAGUGGUUGGGGAUGAGCUCGCGGCCUAUCAGCUGGUUGGUGGGGUAAUGGCCUACCAAGGCGGCGACGGGUAGCCGGCCUGAGAGGGUGGACGGCCACAUUGGGACUGCGAUACGGCCCAGACUCCUACGGGAGGCAGCAGUGGGGAAUAUUGAACAAUGGGCGGCAGCGUGAUGCAGCGACGCCGAGUGGGGGAUGACGGCCUUAGGGUUGUAAACUCCUUUCGACCGCGGGGAAGCCACCUGGUUGGAAGGGUGGUGACGGUAGUGGUAGAAGAAGCACCGGCUAACUACGU